UACGUAGGGGGCAAGCGUUGUCCGGAAUUAUUGGGCGUAAAGAGCUCGUAGGCGGUCUGUUGCGUCGGCUGUGAAAACCCGGGGCUCAACCCCGGGCCUGCAGCCGAUACGGGCAGACUAGAGUUCGGCAGGGGAGACUGGAAUUCCUGGUGUAGCGGUGAAAUGCGCAGAUAUCAGGAGGAACACCGGUGGCGAAGGCGGGUCUCUGGGCAGUAACUGACGCUGAGGAGCGAAAGCGUGGGGAGCGAACAGG
rnacentral:rRNA from 1 species